rnacentral:rRNA from 1 species
CUACGGGACGCACCAGUGGGGAAUAUUGGACAAUGGGGGAAACCCUGAUCCAGCAAUGCCGCGUGUGUGAAGAAGGCCUGCGGGUUGUAAAGCACUUUCGGUUGGGAGGACUGCUUCUAGCACUAAUAUUGUUGGAAGUUGACGUUACCUUCAGAAGAAGCACCGGCUAACUCCGUGCCAGCAGCCGCGGUAAUACGGAGGGUGCAAGCGUUAAUCGGAAUUACUGGGCGUAAGGCGCGCGUAGGCGGCUAGAUCAGUCGGGUGUGAAAGCCCCGGGCUUAACCUGGGAACUGCAUCCGAUACUGUCUAGCUUGAGUACAGGAGAGGAGAGUGGAAUUCCACAUGUAGCGGUGAAAUGCGUAGAUAUGUGGAGGAACACCAAUGGCGAAGGCAGCUCUCUGGCCUGAUACUGACGCUGAGGUGCGAAAGCGUGGGGAUCAAACAGGAUUAGAUACCCAUGUAGUC